AAGAAGUAAAAUCCAUAAGUUAUUCCAUAUAGAAAUCUUUCCUCAGAAAAGUUAUUUUACAUCCUUUCUUAGAGUCGAUGUCUCAUAUCAUCUCGUUGUAGGUUCUGGGAUCAUCUCUAUGUUCUCUAUCUCCCAUAAGAAAUUAUUUUCUCUACAUCCUCUGUUAAGCAUACUCAAGUAUCUUUUGAGAGGAUUGAAGAUCCUACUUUGUGUAUGAGGUG
rnacentral:lncRNA from 1 species